rnacentral:rRNA from 1 species
GUGGGGAAUUUUGGACAAUGGGCGCAAGCCUGAUCCAGCAAUGUCGCGUGCAGGAUGAAGGCCUUCGGGUUGUAAACUGCUUUUGUACGGAACGAAAAGCCCUGGGUUAAUACCCUGGGGUCAUGACGGUACCGUAAGAAUAAGCACCGGCUAACUACGUGCCAGCAGCCGCGGUAAUACGUAGGGUGCAAGCGUUAAUCGGAAUUACUGGGCGUAAAGCGUGCGCAGGCGGUUUUGUAAGACAGAGGUGAAAUCCCCGGGCUCAACCUGGGAACUGCCUUUGUGACUGCAAGGCUAGAGUACGGCAGAGGGGGAUGGAAUUCCGCGUGUAGCAGUGAAAUGCGUAGAUAUGCGGAGGAACACCGAUGGCGAAGGCAAUCCCCUGGGCCUGUACUGACGCUCAUGCACGAAAGCGUGGGGAGCAAACAGGAUUAGAUACCCGAGUAGUCC